rnacentral:rRNA from 1 species
AUAAAGAAAGGAGAGAAGGGCACAUGAAGGAUGCCUGGGCUCUCGGAGGCGAUGAAGGACGUGAUAAGCUGCGAUAAGCUGCGGGAAGGAGCAAAUAUCCCUUGAUCCGCAGAUUUCCGAAUGGGGCAACCCACUGCCCGAACAGGCAGUAUCUUCCGAAUGGAAGAGGCGAACUUGGGGAACUGAAACAUCUCAGUACCCAAAGGAAAAGAAAAUAACCCAAUGAUUGCGCCAGUAGUGGCGAGCGAACGCGCAAGAGCCCAAACCGGCGGUGUUCAGGCACUGACCGGGGUUGUAGGACCGUCAGCAAAUGGACAGUCAGAAGUUAGCCGAAGCCUCUGGAAAGGGGCGCCGCAGCGGGUGACAGCCCCGUAGGCGAAAACAGACGACUGACAGAGACGGCACCUGAGUAAGCCGGGACACGAGAAAUCCUGGCCGAAUCCGCGGGGACCAUCCCGUAAGGCUAAAUACUACCGAGAGACCGAUAGCGAACCAGUACCGUGAGGGAAAGGUGAAAAGAACCUCGAACAGAGGAGUGAAACAGACCCUGAAAUCAUGUGCCUACAAGCGGUCGGAGCUGCUUCGUGCAGUGACGGCGUGCCUUUUGCAUAAUGAACCUACGAGUUACCGUCGUUGGCGAGGCUAAGUCCACUGAUGGACGGAGCCGAAGCGAAAGCGAGUCAGAAUAUGGCGCAAUCUAGUCAGCGGCGGUAGACGCGAAACCAAGUGAUCUACCCUUGGGCAGGUUGAAGGUGGGGUAACACCCACUGGAGGACCGAACCGGUAAGCGUUGAAAAGCUUUCGGAUGACCUGAGGGUAGGAGUGAAAGGCCAAUCAAACUUGGAGAUAGCUCGUACUCCCCGAAAUGCAUUUAGGUGCAGCCUCGGGCGCAGUACCGUGGAGGUAGAGCGACUGAUAGGAUGCGAGGGCUUCACCGCCUAUCAAGUCCUGACAAACUCCGAAUGCCACGGCACGAUCCCCGGGAGUGAGGGCGCGGGUGCUAAGGUCCGCGUCCGAGAGAGGAACAACUCAGACCACCGUCUAAGGCCCCCAAAUCCGGGCUAAGUUGAAGACAAUAACGAGGUGGGAUUGCAAGGACAGCUAGGAUGUUGGCUUGGAAGCAGCCAUUCAUUUAAAGAGUGCGUAACAGCUCACUAGUCGAGUGAUCCCGCAUGGAUAAUAAUCGGGCAUAAGUCCGGUGCCGAAGACGUGGAAUCGACGGUCAAACCGUCGAUUGGUAGGGGAGCAUUCCGGUAGCCGCAGAAGGUCAGGCGCGAGCCUGGCUGGAGGUCCCGGAAAAGC